UGCAGUCCUCUCUCACCUACCUGUCAUUUUCAACAUUAUUUCUUACUGAUGCUCACUGGUAAUUCCGCAUAAAUUUUAUGAUAGUUGAUUCCAGUACAACACAAAAAAAGAAACAAAAACAUGGAAUUACGUUAACAGCUUUGGUUGAGGUAAGAUAUUUGGUUUAUUUCCUCUUCAAACCACUCAAACAAUUAAUUAAAAUUUUUCCUGGUAUAAUUUUGUUAUCAUUGAACUGUCUUUAAUUUUAGUCACCUUUUCAGAUUUUCCUGCCAGUCAGUUGUAAAUUUAAAUAUGCAAGUAAUGAAUCUUAAUUAAAGGCUUGCUUACUGAUUUUAUUAUUUGUUUUCUAUACAUGAAUUGGAAGAUGUUGAUUUAACUUCCAAUCCUUGCUGAUUAACUAGUGCCUAAAUGAAUAGUCCAUUCAUUAUCAUUCUUUCAGGUAUUUCUUCCCAUCUGUUCUCUUCAAGUCAUCAUCCACCUCCUUGGUCAACAUCAUAAAGAUUCUUAUUCUCCUUCUAAUGUUGAAUUGUUUAUUUUUCCCAAGGGUUAGACUAACACAUAUAAUGAAGACUUGAUGCUCUUCAUUUUCUUAUAAUAUUGUCUUCUUCAUGUCUCAUAAGUUAUAUCCUCUUUCUAAUUAUAUUUUCCCCUUAUUUAUGCACAUGGAUUGUAGACUGAAGCAUGUUACCUUCCUUCAAAUGCAUGAAUGACCAAAACACAUCCUCACAUUUGGCUUCUAAAAAACAAAUUAAAUAAAGUUAGGCCAAGUUUGUUGACCAAAUAAGUAAUUUCAAUAUUUAAUACCCCCAAAAUAUUGAAGUAGCAAGUAGCAAUUAUUUGCCAUAAAAAAAAAAUCUAACCAACCAUGAUCCCUACUGGUCAAGAUCCAUCAUUUCACUUUCACUAUCUAGAACAACCCACUUUACCCCACUCCCCGUCUCCCUCAUCUGACAUAAAGAAAACAUGUCAAACUUGUAUAGGAUAGCACUUAGUUUGGCAAUUAUUAUGGUUGGAUGUCAAAGGAGAGUAGUUAGCCAUUUAAUCAAUUUACUUGGAAGAUUUCAAUUUCAAUUUCAGAAGAUUCCCAGUUUUUGAGUGAAAUAGAUGGUUAUCAGAACAAGUUCAUGAUCAACUGUGAUGAAAAUUACCACAAGAGACAAAACUUUCAUUGCCCUAUUGGAUUUCUUAGGUCGUAUUCACAGUUUAAUGUCAAAAAACUAACACACCUGAGUAUCAAAG
rnacentral:misc_RNA from 1 species